ACCCGCUGAACUUAAGCAUAUCAAUAAGCGGAGGAAAAGAAACCAACAGGGAUUGCCUUAGUAACGGCGAGUGAAGCGGCAAAAGCUCAAAUUUGAAAUCGGCCACCAGGUCGAGUUGUAAUUUGUAGAUUGUAUCUUGAGAGCGGAUUAAAGUCUGUUGUAACACAGCGCCUUAGAGGGUGACAGCCCCGUAAAAUCUAUUCUCAUUGUAAGAUACUUUCGAAGAGUCGAGUUGUUUGGGAAUGCAGCUCUAAGUGGGAGGUAAAUUCCUUCUAAAGCUAAAUAUUGACGAGAGACCGAUAGCGAACAAGUACUGUGAAGGAAAGAUGAAAAGCACUUUGAAAAGAGGGUGAAAAAGUACGUGAAAUUGUUAAAAGGGAAGGGUAUUGAAUCAGACUUGGUGCUGUUGUUCAACUGUGUUUCGGCAUAGUGUACUCAGCAGUACUAGGCCAAGGUGGGGUGUUUGGGAGUGAAAAAGAAGUAGGAACGUAACUCUUCGGAGUGUUAUAGCCUAGUUUCAUAGCUCCUCAGGCGCCUCAGGACUGCGCUUCGGCAAGGACCUUGGCAUAAUGAUUCUAUACCGCCCGUCUUGAAACACGGACCAAGGAG
rnacentral:rRNA from 1 species